rnacentral:rRNA from 1 species
AUUGAACGCUGGCGGCAUGCUUUACACAUGCAAGUCGAACGGUAACAGGCCGCAAGGUGCUGACGAGUGGCGAACGGGUGAGUAAUGCAUCGGAACGUGCCCAGUCGUGGGGGAUAACGCAGCGAAAGCUGCGCUAAUACCGCAUACGAUCUAUGGAUGAAAGCGGGGGACCGUAAGGCCUCGCGCGAUUGGAGCGGCCGAUGUCAGAUUAGGUAGGUGGUGAGGUAAAGGCUCACCAAGCCAACGAUCUGUAGCUGGUCUGAGAGGACGACCAGCAACACUGGGACUGAGACACGACGAAGACUCCUCCGGGAGGCAGCAGUAGGGAAUGUUGGACAAUGGGCGCAAGCCUGAUCCAGCAAUGCCGCGUGCAGGAAGAAGGCCUUCGGGUUGUAAACUGCCUUUGUACGGAACGAAACGGUCCGGGUUAAUACCCUGGGCUAAUGACAGUACCUGAAGAAUAAGCACCGGCUAACUACGUGCCAGCCGCCGCGGUAACAC